UUAUUUUUCAUCAUGUUAUUUCAAAAUUUAUAAUUUUUCAACAAUUCAACUCUGUCAUUUUAUUUUUUAAAUAAAUUUAGAUAUUUUUCUGAAAAAAUUCACUAAUAUUAUAAUAUUUAUCAUUUCACAUAUUUAACAAUUUAUCUAUAUUGUUAUUGGAGCAAUUACUUUUCAUCUUCAUGCAACAAAAUUUUUUUUCUUUAUAUUUUCUUGAAGACCAACAUCUAUAUAUUUUUGAAUCUUAAUAGUUUGUAUGUCUCUUAUAUACGUGUGCUUAUUCUAAUUUGUGUCAAAUAUGAAAGUUUAGUUGAUCUCAUUAUAUGCUUAAAUAUUAAUGUCAUUUGUAAUUUUUCAUAUCAAUUUAGUUAUCAUUUUAUUUUGCACAUCAAUAUGUAAAUGUAAAUUAUUUUGCACACCAAUUCAUAGAUAAUAGAG
rnacentral:lncRNA from 1 species